rnacentral:lncRNA from 1 species
AACAUAUUUAUAUAAUUAUUAAUAAUUUUGUUUUCUUCAUCUAUCAGGAAAGCAUUGGCUAUGGAAAGAGCCAAAAAGCAAGAGCAGAGACAGAGACAGACAGAAAGACAGAAAGACAGAGGGACAGAGACAGACAGAAACAGAGAGAGAGACAUGAAGAGCUGAGGCUUUGGGAAAGACCCAUACCCUUGCUACCAAGGUGUGGAGUCUACCAGCGAAGGAGUGGCUGAGGAUGCUGGUGGCCUGAGGUUCUGGAGGCUGAUGUGAUCCAGCUGUGAAUCCCCUUGUGAACAGGAGUUGGCAUGAGGGUCACAAAGAGACAGAGAGCCUGGCAGUAGUGAGAGAUGUAAGACCUGAUCCCCCAGGAACCAGGAAAGUUGUAAUUGGUCAGACCAUUGGGAGAUAGAGGAAGCAAACUGCCCAGGACCAUUGCUUGUAUAGCCCAGCCUGCUCAUGGGCAGCCUGGGGUGCCUACCUGUGUGGGCCAUUAACUGUGUCUUCCAGCAGGAAGGGGAGCAAGUCCAUCAGCAGCCUGGCAAGGAGCUGAGGAACAGGAUGGAGCCUCAGGCUAGUGCUCCAGGGAUGGGGCUCCUUGUUCUCCCCAACCUUCUCCAGGAGACAUCGAGGCUCACCCAAGGCCUGUGCAAGGGAAUGAUGAGCAGGAAGAGCUCAGAAAAACCUGGAAAUAUUUAGAUGAACUGAAGAUAAUUGAAACAAGUAGAACCAGGAAAAAACUACUGUACACACUGAUAGGAAUAGAAUACAACGAACAACUGUGAAUGACCCAGCUAUUCUCAGUAAUAUAAUGAUUUAAAUCAAUAUUAAAGGACUCAUGAUAAAAAAUGCCAUUUGAUUCCAAAGAACGAACUGAUGGUGUCUGAAUCCAGACUAAAGCAAACUUUCUUCACCUUCUUUCUUAGAGUUUUUUGUUCUAGUUCUUUCCACAAAAGGAUUAAUGUGGGUGUUUCAUAUUAUUACACAUGUAAAUUCAAUAAGAGAUUUCUAAACAUCUUAGGGGAUAGGAAGAGGGAAGAAAAGAAUUCAAGACUCAAAAUCCUGACUAAAAUGUUAGGAAAUGUUUUUGAAUGCAAUUGGGGGGAAAUAAAUUAAUUUUUUUUUAUUUAAGAAAAAAAGAA